GUUGAUAGAUCCAAUCUUGUGUGCUCUCAGAAGCUAAGCAGGGUCAGGCCUGGUUAGCAGUUGGCUUGGUGACAGCCUGUGAAUAUCAGAGGCUGUAAGCU
rnacentral:rRNA from 1 species